rnacentral:lncRNA from 10 species
UUUCACCACAGCAGGCAGGAGAUUGCUAUGAAAGAGGCUAGUGUGCAGUAUCAGAAUGUCCUGGGCACUAGCUCCACCUGGAAGAAGUAGCUCUGAAUGGGGAGGCCGCAGGUCUCAGCAAGGAAGGUGAGUAUGUGACCAAGUGGUCAACAGGCAGAGCCAAGCUCUUCCUCAGGGGGCUGGGCGGUGGACACCCACCCACUUUGUGUUUGUUGAUGGACUAAAAGUAUUCCCUCAGAGUCAUGAAAUACUCACAAAUGCUCACGGAGUUGGUAUAUUCUCCGGACAUCCUGCAAGAGAGAAAAGCACAGGAGAGUCUGAAUCACGUGGACUCCCAUAGUGGCCCUCACUGCCUAAACACAGGCUGGGGAUCCCCAGCCAGACCAGCUCAGCCUUCACGCACCCCACACUUGCCAGAUGGCACUGGCUGCCCUUGCAUGUCUCUAAGCCCUCCCUCUCGCUCCUCAAUCUACUCUUCCCACUGCAGAGAUGUGGAACCUGCAACUUUGGAACCCCCAACAACAUUACCACCCCCAAGGUCCCUCCUGCAGGGUUUCUCUUGAACCCAUUUCUUUACUACUGUGAGCAGCUGUCUGAAUAAAUACAUAUGUGGAAAGAUCAGGAUCAGGAGUUGCUACUAAUGAACGAACUGUAUGAUUUUGGGGCAAGUGACUUCUCUCCAGGUCUCAGUUAUAAAAUGGUGCUUGGUUAGAACAGGGUUUUUCAAAUGUUCAUGCUUCGUGUGCCACCCUUCUGACUGUUGCUAGGACCAUGUUUGACUUGUACUGUUAGAUAUUUAGUAUUUUUAAUUGACUCUGCCUUUUACGACAAAAGUGCAUUUCUUUUAAAAAGAAGUUUUUUAUCACCAGGGUAAAUAGAAACCAGUAUUAUUACCUAACCAAAUAAGAAAAAAAGUAGCAGUAAAAAUAAAUAUAAUGAAAAGAAAACAAUUUAAAACUUUUGGGCUAAAUAAUGCUAUUAUUUUCCCAGAGAUGCUGCACCUGAGAUCUACUGUCUCUUUAUCAAUAGGGGAUAUUUGUAAGUGUCUGAGAGGUGUUUUUGUGUUUUGUCUGUUUGUUUGUUUGUUUGUUUGUUUGUUUUUGAGAUGGAGUCUCAUUCUGUCACCCAAGCUGGAGGACAGUAGCAGGAUCUCAGCUCACUGCAACCUCAGCCUCCUGGGUUCAAGCGAUUCUCCUGACUCAGCCUCCCAAGUAGCUAAGAUUACAGGCAUGCACCACCACAUCCAGCUAACUUUUGUAUUUUUAGUAGAGACGAGGUUUCUCCAAUGUUGGCCAGGCUGGUCUCAAACUCCUGACCUCAGGUGAUCCACCCGCCUCAGCCUCCCAAAGUGCUGGGAUUACAGGCACGAACCACUGCGCCUGGCCAUCUGAGAGGUGUUAAAGACACAACAGCACCCAGCUAAGACUUUCUCCAAAGAGUCAAAAGAGAACUGUAAAGGAAAUUGCUGUCACAUUAUCUGGCAGGAUGCUGUUUGAAACUAUGCUUGUGGGUGAAGUAAACACAUCGCCAGC